rnacentral:ribozyme from 13 species
AAGAACAAAACCAAGAAACAAAAAGCCAAUCUGUGAGAAAAAUUCUUCAUCUUGCCCUUGUUCCUUCGCCUUUCUUCCUUCUCUUUUUCUUUCUCUUUUUCCUUCUCUUUCUCUUUCUCUUUCUCUUUUUCUCCGUGAU